UAUUUCCUGGGGUAUGCGUUGGUUCACGUAAAUUGAACCUACACUUCUUACACGGGAUUCUGCGUUCGGAAACGGAUGACGUGCCUCCGUGGCUGAGGAUGUCUGAAGUCAUGACAGGAAGUACCCACCCUUAUCUUUCGGAUAGGGCGUCAAUUUCGGUUCUGACGGUACUCUGGGAAUAUU
rnacentral:other from 1 species